rfam:Homo sapiens chromosome 9, GRCh38 reference primary assembly.
GCCGGGCAUGGUGGCUCAUGCCUGUAAUCCCAGCACUUUGGGAGGCUGAGGCAGGUGGAUCACUUGAGGUCAGGAGUUCCAGACCAGCCUGACCAACAUGGUGAAACCCCGUCUCUA